rnacentral:tRNA from 3 species
GCGAACUUGGCGGAAUGGUAGACGCACGAGACUUAAAAUCUCGAGUCCGUAAGGGCGUGCGGGUUCGAGUCCCGCAGUUCGCA